rnacentral:rRNA from 1 species
GGUGUAAUUUUACCGUCAAUGUGCUCCCGUAAAUAGGUGCCGCAAUGAUUUCUCGUUGCAUGCAUACGUUUUGCUUUCGUUAUUACCCUUAUUUUGUUCAAAUAAAAGGUAAAUAAAUAAGUAAAAAGGAUGCAGCGGCUUGCCUUAAUACGUCAGUACGUACUCCUCCACCGAAAACCUGCAACCGCGGAUAACACACUCCACAGUCAACCUCCCUAAAUGCCCCCCGAGUCGAGGUAGGCUUUUACUCAAGCAUAUUAUCUCUCGCUCCUUCGAAGAAGGAGGUGCGAGUAUAUAUAGGGUGAUCGUGUCACGUCGAGCACGGCCUGCUCUUUCUUCCUGCCUCCCUCUCCGUCAAUCCAGCGACUUAGACUUGCCUUGUGAGACUUUGCGGGUGCGGGACUGACGAGUUUUGGGAGGUAAAUUGGGGAUGGAGUUUAAACUCGUUGAAGCCACGUUUAAGAGGCUCUGUACCCGCUUUAAGGGCUUGGUCUCCAAGGGUUCGGGUGCGGCCUCGGCAGCAGCACCGAGUCGGACUCUCAGAAGAUGGACGCCGACUCGUCCACGCUCCACCUGCUUAGGUACGACCUGUGGGACUGGUAGUGGGUGCGGGGCGAGUGGAGGCUGUGGCAGGACCUCCACUUGCCGCUGUCCGGUUCUUCGUGGCCGUUGGUGGUACCGGUGCAGAGCACGGGGGAGGCGUCCCUGGCGCACCUGCGGCGCAGCGCGCUCCGGAGGAAGCAGUCGUGCCGCUGGCACUCCUACCGGCCCUCGCACGCGAAGCUCCAGGCGCAGCCGCCGCCGCUCUCCGAGGAGCACCCCUAGUACCUCUACACGCUGCACCGCCUCCUCUUCUUCCCCACCCAGUACUUCACGGUCCAGCGGUACGUCGCCACGAGCCCCAAGGACUUUCCGCCGCCCCUCCUCCCACGGUUCAGCGGCUACCAGCUCCACAUGCACCGCUCGGACAAGGCCCCGUUGGGCCAGCACAAGUGGUUCCGCUACUUCGACGCCGAGUCCUCCUGCGCGGUCCAGUUCCGCGGCAAGUACCUCGGGUAGGGGCUCACGCCGCUCGUGCGGCCGCUGCUGCGCUUUCUUUGCGGCAGACUGGUCUUCGUACUAGGUGUCCUUAGCCUCAUGUCCACGAUGUUCGGCCUCGGCCGGUACCUGCUGCAGCUGAUGCUGUCGAACAUGUACCCUAGCCGCCCCGACCUUCCGCCCCUGUCGCUCGAGAGCACCAAGUGCCGGCCGCAGUCUCACCCGCACCAGUAGUCGGACCCGUAGAAGGAGCCGCAGCCGUAGCCGCGACCUGAGGACCGGGCAAGGAUGGUCAGGUGGAGGUCCUCAUACUCCGCCGCCGACUAGAGGCCGGACGAGACUGAUACUUGCCGCCGUAAGGUCGUAUAGUGCCUCGGUCGACCCGUGUCGUUGAGACAAAGAGAGGUCUGCACUGCGCGUACCUCUAAUGAGACAACAGACGACCUACACACACAUGUGGGAAGACGGACAAUAUAUCUUGGUGAUUAUAACGAUGAUUCUUACGACGUCAGCACGUGAUUACAACACGACAGUGAAGGCCGUUGAUGCUCCGUCGACGAAACAAUGUAUGUACGUACGUCUGUUUGCACAGGAGUCAACGGUGCGGACGCAUAUGACGAUAUAUUGUGCUCUAGUAGCUAACACGACAAUUCUUGUCUACGUUAUAGCAGGUAGCAAAUCGGGCGAAGUAGUACAACUACGUGCGACUCCUCCUCUCGCGCGGGGAGGCGGCCCGGUAGCGUUGCCCCAGCAGCGGCAUACACAACCGGCGGCUCCGGCCGCCUUCGCGGCCUCUCUACCUCUACCCCUACGAGGGGCCCAUGGUCGCGGACAGCUGGUGCACACUGCGCUGAAAGGGGCUGCUGCUGUCGCCGCUGAUGUCCCGCACCGGCACCCGCACGGACGGAGUUCGCCAGUCCUACGAGACCCCCUAUGAGCGGGCACAGCACACCUCCACCUCCCCGCUUCCGCUUCUUAGCCGCGGUCGUGGCCGUGGCCGCCGACCCUUACCCUCCUCCGCCAGCAGUACCUCCGGCCUGGGACUGCUGGCCACCGGCCACGUCCCGACCACGAUCGACUGCAGCAAAAGAAGAAACAUCGACUACUUCCAUAACCUCUGUGUACCCUAAGUCCCAUACACACACGCACCUAAAACUUCAAGUAAGUCUUCCCCUUUUUUUGAAAACCAAACAUCAUCAAGAAAGUAUAUAGAACAAGUCAACAAGAUACCACCCUAGGUCGGUAGGUCCGCAACAAGCCUGUCUUUAUUCUGUGAGUUGGCCGGCGAGGUUUGCGUG